UAACCUGGUUGAUCCUGCCAGUAGUCAUAUGCUUGUCUUAAAGAUUAAUCCAUGCAUGUGUAAGUAUAAGUAUUGUACAGCGAAACUGCGAAUGGCUCAUUACAUCAGUUAUAAUUUAUUUGAUAAUCGAAAGUUACAUGGAUAACCGUGACAAAUUACAGCUAAUACAUGCAGUCAGACCUGGUCCAAGGGUCGUAAUUAUUAGUAUUAAACCAUUUCCGCAAGGAGUGUGAUGAUUCAUAAUAAUCGAACGAAUCGCCUGGUGUGCGAUAAAUCAUUCAAGUUUCUGCCCUAUCAGCUUUGGAUGGUAGUGUAUUGGACUACCAUGGCAGUCACGGGUAACGGAGAAUUAGGGUUCGAUUCCGGAGAGGGAGCCUGAGAAACGGCUACCACAUCUACGGAAGGCAGCAGGAGCGAAAAUUGCCCAAUCCCGACACGGGGAGGCAGUGACGAGAAAUAACAACUCUUGGUUAUUCUAAGAAGUGUAAUGAGGAUAAUUUAAAACCCUUACCGAAAGCAAUUGGAGGGCAAGUCUGGUGCCAGCAGCCGCGGUAAUUCCAGCUCCAAUAGCGUAUAUUAAAGUUGUUGCAGUUAGAAAGCUCGUAGUUGAAGUUCUGGCUGCUCGACCCUCGAGCUCUGUAGCCGGGGGCUCGGCAGUCAUCCGCUUGCAAACAUAUGUUCGCCUUUAACCGGGCGGCUAUGUGAGCAAGCAUUUUACCUUGAGAAAAACAGAGUGUUCCAGGCAGGUUUGUCCGGAAUGCAUUAGCAUGGAAUAAUAGAAUAUGACUGAAGUCGAUUUAUUGGUUUGAGGCUUUAGUAAUGAUUAAUAGGAACAGUCGGGGGCAUUGGUACUUGUCAGUCAGAGGUGAAAUUCUAGGAUUUGACAAAGACUAACAAAUGCGAAAGCAUUUGCCAAGGAUGUUUUCAUUAAUCAAGAACGAAAGUUAGGGGAUCAAAGACGAUCAGAUACCGUCCUAGUCUUAACUAUAAACUAUACCGACUCGGAUUCAGAUGAAUCAUAAAGUUCAUUUGGGACCGUAGGAGAAAUCAAAGUUUUUGGGUUCUGGGGGAAGUAUGGUCGCAAGGCUGAAACUUAAAGGAAUUGACGGUUUUGCACCACCAUGGAGUGGAGUCUGCGGCUUAAUUUGACUCAACACUGGGAAACUCAUCAGGGCAAGAAGAUUGUAGGAUUGACAGAUUGAGAGUUCUUUCUUGAUUGGUCUAGUGGUGGUGCAUGGCCGUUCUUAGUUGGUGGAGUGAUUUGUCUGGUUAAUUCCGUUAACGAACGAGACCUUAACCUGCUAACUAGUAUAUCGAUGACAAAUCGAUAUUACUUCUUAGAGGGACUAUGUGAUGUAAUCACAUGGAAGUUUGAGGCAAUAACAGGUCUGUGAUGCCCUUAGAUGUCCUGAGCUGCACGCGUACUACAAUGGUGCUUUCAACGAGCUUUUCCUGAUCCGAAAGGAUUUGGGUAAUCUUUUUAGUGAGCACCGUGCUUGGGAUAGAUCUUUGUAAUUAUGGAUCUUGAACUAGGAAUUCCUAGUAAGCGCGCGUCAUCAGCGCGUGCUGAUUACGUCCCUGCAAAAUGUACACACCGCCCGUCGCUAUUACCGAUUGAGUGUAAAGGUGAACCUUCUCGAUAGACGCAAGUUUAAAAAUUAAGUAAACCUUUGCACUUAGAGGAAAUAAAAGUCGUAACAAGGUUUCCGUAGGUGAACCUGCAGAAGGAUCA
rnacentral:rRNA from 1 species